GGCUCGGUAGAUUAGUUGAUAAAGCGCUCGUCUAGCACACAAGAGUCCUGGGUUUGAAUCCCAGCCGAGCAC
rfam:Aedes aegypti strain Liverpool supercont1.443 genomic scaffold, whole genome shotgun sequence.